UAACACAUGCAAGUCGAACGAGAGAGUGGAGCAAUCCAUGAGUACAGUGGCGACCGCGGUGAGUGACACGUGAUCCACCUACCCUCGAGUGGGGAAUAACUCCGGGAAACCGGAGCUAAUACCGCACAACAUCUUCGGUCCACAUGAACUGAUGAUCAAAGUAGCAAUGCGCUUGACGAGGGGGUCGCGGCUGAUUAGCUACUUGGUAGGGUAAUGGCCUACCAACGGUUAGAUCGGUAUCCGGCCUGACAGGGCGCACGGACACACUGGAACUGAAACACGGUCCAGACUCCUACGGGAGGCAGCUAGUGGGGAAUUUUGCGCAAUGGGGGAAACCCUGACGCAGCAACGCCGCGUGGAGGAUGAAGUCCCUUGGGACGUAAGUCCUUUCGACCCGGAAGAUACUGACGGUACGGGUGGAAGAAGCACCGGCUAACUCUGUGCCACCAGCCGCGGUAAUACAGACGGUGCCAGCGUUGUUCCGAAUUAUUGGGCGUAAAGGGCGCGUACGCCGUGCGGGAAGUCACUUGUGAAAUCUCCUGGCUCAACUGGAAGCUUGCAAGGCGAAACUGCCGUGCUGGACUAUGGGAGAGGUGAGUGGAAUUCCCGGUGUAGCGCUGAAAUGCCGUAGAUAUCGGGAGGAACACCAUGUGGCGAAAGCGGCUCACUGGACCAUAACUGACGUCUUGAUGCGCGAAAGCUAGGGGAGCAAACAGGAUUAGAUACCCUGGUAGUCCUAGCCCUAAACUAUGGAUGCUUGGUGUGAUGGGUACCCAAUCCCAUCGUGCCGCAGCUAACGCGAUAAGCAUCCCGCCUGGGGAGUACGAUCGCAAGGCUGAAACUCAAAGGAAUUGACGGGGGCCCGCACAAGCGGUGGAGCAUGUGGUUCAAUUCGACGCAACGCAGAAGAACCUUACCUGGGCUCGAAAUCGAGACGUGGAUUCUCGGUGGAAACAUGGGCGCCCGCAAGGGCCGCUACUAUAGGUGCUGCAUGGCCGUGGUCAGCUCGUGUCGUGAGAUGUUGGGUUAAGUCCCGCAACGAGCGCAACCCUUAUCGUUAGUUGCCAUCAGGUCAAGCUGGGCACUCUAUGCGAAACCGCCUCUGAUAAACGGGGAGGAAGGUGGGGAUGACGUCAAGUCCUCAUGGCCUUUAUGUCCAGGGCUACACACGUGCUACAAUGGUCGGUACAAACCGUCGCAAACCCGAGAGGGGGAGCUAAUCGGAAAAAGCCGACCUCAGUUCGGAUUGGAGUCUGCAACCCGACUCCAUGAAGCUGGAAUCGCUAGUAAUCGCGGAUCAGACACGCCGCGGUGAAUACGUUCCCGGGCAUUGUACACACCGCCCGUCACAUCACGAAAGUGGACUGCACUAGA
rnacentral:rRNA from 1 species